AUGGCUUCCUCGCGUGCCAUUAUGAUACUUUCCUUGUUUGCGUUGGCAUUGCCGCACUCUGUUGUGCAGGCUAGGAUGAUGCCAAGUGAUCAACCACAGAUGCUCGCUGAGAAGACGAUCAGCCCACCUCGAUACUCGUCAUCUCCAGAUUUGCUUCAAGUGUUCAGGGCGCCACCACCGCCAAUCCCUGUUACGUUUGCUGGGAACAUUGAGAUCACCGGUGCCAAGCGUAGGCGUGCUAGCCAGGUCGUCGUUAAGGGCUCAGUUCCGAGCCCCGGAGUCGGUCACCACUAG
rnacentral:rRNA from 1 species